rnacentral:misc_RNA from 1 species
AGCAGCCGCGGUAAUUCCAGCUCCAAUAGCGUAUAUUAAAGUUGUUGCAGUUAAAAAGCUCGUAGUUGAAUUUCGGGAUCAAAGGAUCGGUCAUGCCUUGGUAUGUACUGGUUUUAUUGGUUCUCACCUUCUAAAGAACCAUAAUGUCAUUCAUUUGAUGUUAUGGGGAAUUAGGACUGUUACCUUAGAAAAAAUUAGAGUGUUUAAAGCAGGCUUACGCUUGAAUACAUUAGCAUGGAAUAAUGAAAUAGGACAUCAGAUUCUAUUUUGUUGGUUUCUAGGAUCGAUGUAAUGAUUAAUAGGGAUAGUUGGGGGCAUUAGUAUUCAAUUGUCAGAGGUGAAAUUCUUGGAUUUAUUGAAGACUAACUACUGCGAAAGCAUUUGCCAAGGAUGUUUUCAUUAAUCAAGAACGAAAGUUAGGGGAUCGAAGACGAUCAGAUACCGUCGUAGUCUUAACCAUAAACUAUGCCGACUAGGGAUCGGAUGAUGUUAAUUUAUAAUGACUCAUUC